GUGCCAGCAGCCGCGGUAAUACGGAGGGUGCAAGCGUUACUCGGAAUCACUGGGCGUAAAGCGCAUGUAGGCGGACUUACAAGUCAGGUGUGAAAUCCUAUGGCUCAACCAUAGAACAGCACUUGAAACUGUAAGUCUAGAGUUCGGGAGAGGCAGAUGGAAUUUCCGGUGUAGGGGUAAAAUCCGUAGAGAUCGGAAGGAAUACCUAUUGCGAAGGCGAUCUGCUGGAACGCAACUGACGCUCAGAUGCGAAAGCGUGGGUAGCAAACAGGAUUAGAUACCCUGGUAGUCCACGCCCUAAACGAUGGAUGCUAGUUGUUGGGGAGCCAGUCUCUUCAGUAAUGCAGCUAACGCAUUAAGCAUCCCGCCUGGGGAGUACGGUCGCAAGAUUAAAACUCAAAGGAAUAGACGGGGACCCGCACAAGCGGUGGAGCAUGUGGUUUAAUUCGAAGAUACGCGAAGAACCUUACCUGGGCUUGACAUCCUAAGAACUUUGUAGAGAUACAUUGGUGCUAGCUUGCUAGAACUUAGUGACAGGUGCUGCACGGCUGUCGUCAGCUCGUGUCGUGAGAUGUUGGGUUAAGUCCCGCAACGAGCGCAACCCCCGUCCUUAGUUGCUAACGGUUCGGCCGAGAACUCUAAGGAGACUGCCUUCGUAAGGAGGAGGAAGGUGGGGACGACGUCAAGUCAUCAUGGCCCUUAUGCCCAGGGCAACACACGUGCUACAAUGGGGUGUACAGAGAGAAGCAAUACUGCGAAGUGGAGCAAAUCUCUAAAGCAUCUCUUGGUUCGGAUUGCUCUCUGCAACUCGAGAGCAUGAAGCCGGAAUCGCUAGUA
rnacentral:rRNA from 1 species